AUCUUGAAUCUAAGUCCUAAGUGAAUACCUGUGUCUAACUCUUUUUUUUCCUGUUUUCACCUCAGACCGUCUCACCCUCAGCCUGGACCCAGUUCUACCCAUCAGACCGAGAGCUCUGGAGCCCGGACCCCAUUCCCACACUUUCCAACACUGCCCCUAUACAUGUGGACAAUGCUUUCAAGUUUCUCAAACUAACAGCAGAGUUUGGGGGUCAUCAUGGUGAAAAUGUGCAGAUGGACGUGAAAUAAACAUAAAUGAUUCACUUUCCCGUCUUCAGAGGGAGGUCAGCGAGGAGCCGAGCUCGGCGGCGUCCGGCCGUGAACGGCGAGCGGUCGGCUGCUAAAAGGGAAAAUAUGUUUUUUUCAUCGGACCAUAUGGUAAUGUGAACUGAUGUCACAUCACAUAUGGAAAUAAUCCACAUCAAUAAGUAAAGAGUGGGUGAGCUGCUGGUCGUCCAAUCACAAUCAGGGAAUGAUGAAGUCAAACAAAACUGAACACGGAGUGACGCCUGUGAAGCCGCUCUGUAUUGAGUGCUGUUUAACCUGCAGUGAGACGCUCGGCCUCCUGGGAAACGUGUCCCGUUCCUCUCCUGCCUCAUCCAUCAUGGCCGCCCGAGGGAGGCGGCAGGUUGUUGUUGGGUCCCGGGAGGAAAGCUUCCGGCGCUGCAGGUUUCUGUUUUAAAUCCACACGGAGCAGAAGGACAUGAGCUCCUGCGAUAAAUAAAACGUUUUGUGUUUCAUCGUUCAGUGUCGCAGCAACACGAAGCAUCCAGACGGCGAACACGUUCUUAUUCUAUCAGCCGGAGAAACACCAAAACCAGCUUUAAUUUAGUGCCAUCAAUCAUCUCAGAGGAGAAAUAGUUCACUUUUACUUGUUUUUUGUUUAUUCAAGCAAACAUAUUUCCAUAUAUGGGAGAACAUUCCCACUACGGACUUUAAUAUGUUGUAUAUAAUGUUCAUACAUUUUUUAAUUUAUUUUUGUCUUAAUUGUUAAUACUUUUUAUAUUUCUACUUGUUUCUACUGUCAAUUGUUAAUACUUUAUAUGUUUUUACUUGUUUGUUUGUUACUGCCUCUUAUAUUUCUAGUUUAUACUGCUGUUUACUAUUUGUUGUUUUUUUUUGUUUAUUUUUUUGCUAUCCACUUUGCUGCUGUAAUUCUUGAAAUUUGGGAAAAGAAAA